rnacentral:lncRNA from 1 species
UUUUUUUUUUUUUUUUUGAUUACAUGAGACUAUUGCUCAGAUUACAACUCAUAUACAUGAGACUAUUACUGAUAUUUACAAAUCAGACUAUUACUGGGACCAACUGACAUCAAUGCUAAUGGAGCUCUGCCCAGAUUUUAACCCUCACAAAUAUUCGAGGGAUGUCUACUCCUCACUCAUGGGUAAGGGAGAAUACUACCUUCACUCAAAUUAAUUGAGGAAGGAAAUACCCCCACAAUACUUUUGUGGGGGUUCGAACUGCUGCUCUCCAAGUUGGAGGGCAGCAGCCCUGGCCACUCGGGCUGCU